GGAUUACCUUGCUUGCUGGGAUUAUUACUUUAUGGUAUUUUUACUACUUGUUCCUGAGCCUCACUGGGAUCUCUAGUGGGGUUAACCUGGGGAAUACCAGGCCUCCGCUACAACCCCUAUGGGACUCAUGCCAGACACCUCUGGGGCUCUGACUCAGGCGGCUCCCUUCGCUCUGCGGAUAUGUGCUGUGUGCGUAAGAGUGCAAAAUGCCUUGAUAAAGGCUACCAGGAGGAGCUGAAAAGUUGGGGGAUUGUUUGUGACUCGUGUUUCUGCCCAUACAGGCUUGUGGAAUUUGGUAAAUAUAAUUGUUGAGUUGUGUAGCCUAUUUGGUCACUGUUAUAUUGUUACAUUUUGCAUGUAUG
rnacentral:lncRNA from 1 species